rnacentral:tRNA from 1 species
GCCGGAGUAGCUUAACGGUAAAGCAGGCGCCUGAAGAGCGUCUGAACGCAGUUCGAUUCUGCGCUCCGGCA